rnacentral:rRNA from 1 species
AUACGGAGGGUCCGAGCGUUAUCCGGAAUCAUUGGGUUUAAAGGGUCCGUAGGCGGGAAUCUAAGUCAGUGGUGAAAUCUUGCAGCUCAACUGUAAAAUUGCCAUUGAUACUGGAUUUCUUGAAUUAGUGUGAAGUGGUUAGAAUGUGUAGUGUAGCGGUGAAAUGCAUAGAUAUUACACAGAAUACCAAUUGCGAAGGCAGAUCACUAACACUAUAUUGACGCUAAGGGACGAAAGCGUGGGGAGCGAACAGGAUUAGAAACCCCAGUAGUCC